AGAGUCCUAGCCUGAUAUUCAAGACUAUGUUUUUCUAUACAUUUUUCAUUUUCUUUAUGUUUCAAUCGUUAAUUUUGUGGCACAGUUUUCCUGUAGAAUGCUCGGGCUCCAUAUGGUCUGUUUAGUCUAGCUUCAGUGGGCAUUACCUCUUCUUCAUAUCUCCCUUGUUUUACUGCAGUACUCUUUACCUAGCUAACCUUAUCCGUUUUAUUAUGACUUCUAGUUGUUUUACUCAGUUUCCAAACGUAGUCCAGCACUUAGACAAGUAUGCCUAGAUUAAACAUUAUUUGUAUUUCAAGCAUGUAAUAUGAGGACAGUUUAACAUAAGCCUGCUCUCCUAGACAAGAACGCCUAACCGGUUUCUAUUAUUUUUCCAUAAAAUUGUGCUGAACCCCUCUCUAUGCCUCAAAACUGUUAUGAUUACUCAUGCUGUUGUGGCACCACACACUAGUUUUUGUAUUCACAUGCACAGUAAAAAUAAAGAUUGACAGGAGUGAAGAGGGAAAUUCCUGUCCUGGUCGGGGAGAAUUGCAGCAACAAAAAUGAUCCUCCU